rnacentral:rRNA from 1 species
GACGAACGCUGGCGGCGUGCCUAAUACAUGCAAGUAGAACGCUGAAGAGAGGAGCUUGCUCUUCUUGGAUGAGUUGCGAACGGGUGAGUAACGCGUAGGUAACCUGCCUUGUAGCGGGGGAUAACUAUUGGAAACGAUAGCUAAUACCGCAUAACAAUGGAUGACACAUGUCAUUUAUUUGAAAGGGGCAAUUGCUCCACUACAAGAUGGACCUGCGUUGUAUUAGCUAGUAGGUGAGGUAAUGGCUCACCUAGGCGACGAUACAUAGCCGACCUGAGAGGGUGCUCGGCCACACUGGGACUGAGACACGGCCCAGACUCCUACGGGAGGCAGCAGUAGGGAAUCUUCGGCAAUGGGGGCAACCCUGACCGAGCAACGCCGCGUGAGUGAAGAAGGGUUUCGGAUCGUAAAGCUCUGUUGUAAGUCAAGAACGGGUGUGAGAGUGGAAAGUUCACACUGUGACGGUAGCUUACCAGAAAGGGACGGCUAACUACGUG